rnacentral:rRNA from 1 species
GACGAACGCUGGCGGCGUGCUUAACACAUGCAAGUCGAACGAAGAGCGAUGGAAGCUUGCUUCUAUCAAUCUUAGUGGCGAACGGGUGAGUAACGCGUAAUCAACCUGCCCUUCAGAGGGGGACAACAGUUGGAAACGACUGCUAAUACCGCAUACGAUCUAACCUCGGCAUCGAGGAUAGAUGAAAGGUGGCCUCUACAUGUAAGCUAUCACUGAAGGAGGGGGUUGCGUCUGAUUAGCUAGUUGGAGGGGUAACGGCCCACCAAGGCGAUGAUCAGUAGCCGGUCUGAGAGGAUGAACGGCCACAUUGGGACUGAGACACGGCCCAGACUCCUACGGGAGGCAGCAGUGGGGAAUCUUCCGCAAUGGACGAAAGUCUGACGGAGCAACGCCGCGUGAGUGAUGACGGCCUUCGGGUUGUAAAGCUCUGUUAAUCGGGACGAAAGGCCUUCUUGCGAAUAGUGAGAAGGAUUGACGGUACCGGAAUAGAAAGCCACGGCUAACUACGUG